UACGGGGGGAGCAAGCGUUGUUCGGAUUUACUGGGCGUAAAGGGCGCGUAGGCGGUCAGCACAAGUCAGUUGUGAAAUCUCCGGGCUUAACCCGGAAAGGUCAACUGAUACUGUGCGACUAGAGUGCGGAAGGGGCAACUGGAAUUCUCGGUGUAGCGGUGAAAUGCGUAGAUAUCGAGAGGAACACCGGUGGCGAAGGCGGGUCUCUGGGCCGUAACUGACGCUGAGGAGCGAAAGCGUGGGGAGCGAACAGG
rnacentral:rRNA from 1 species